UCCGAGUUGUCCCCGGCAGUCUCCUUAGAGUCCCCGGCAUUACCCGCUGGCAACUAAGGACAGGGGUUGCGCUCGUUGCGGCACUUAAGCCAACACCUCACGACACGAGCUGACGACAACCAUGCACCACCUGUGCUAGCCCCUUACGGACACCGGCUUUCACCGGCUUUAACUAGCAUGUCAAGCCUAGGUAAGGUUCUUCGCGUUGCCUCGGAUUAAGCCACAUGCUCCGCCGCUUGUGCGGGCCCCCGUCAAUUCCUUUGAGUUUUAGCCUUGCGGCCGUACUUCCCAGGCGGGGCACUUAAUGCGUUAGCGUCGGCGCGGAAGGAGUCGACACCUCCCACACCUAGUGCCCAUCGUUUACGGCGUGGACUAC
rnacentral:misc_RNA from 1 species